GAAAUGCGAUAAGUAGUGUGAAUUGCAGAAUUCAGUGAAUCAUCGAAUCUUUGAACGCACAUUGCGCCCUUUGGUAUUCCUUAGGGCAUGCCUGUUCGAGCGUCAUUUAAACCUUCAAGCUCAGCUUGUGAUGGGUGACUGUCCUCCCCUCGCGGGGGGACUCGCCUCAAAAACAUUGGCGGCCGGUACAUUGGCUUCGAGCGCAGCAGAAACGCGGUCUCGAGCCCGGUGGAUCGGCUCCCAUAAGCCUCUUCUUUUAUUUUGACCUCGGAUCAGGUAGGGAUACCCGCUGAACUUAAGC
rnacentral:misc_RNA from 1 species